GAUGAACGCUGGCGGCGUGCCUAAUACAUGCAAGUCGAGCGAACAGAUGAGGAGCUUGCUCCUCUGACGUUAGCGGCGGACGGGUGAGUAACACGUGGAUAACCUACCUAUAAGACUGGGAUAACUUCGGGAAACCGGAGCUAAUACCGGAUAAUAUAUUGAACCGCAUGGUUCAAUAGUGAAAGACGGUUUUGCUGUCACUUAUAGAUGGAUCCGCGCCGCAUUAGCUAGUUGGUAAGGUAACGGCUUACCAAGGCAACGAUGCGUAGCCGACCUGAGAGGGUGAUCGGCCACACUGGAACUGAGACACGGUCCAGACUCCUACGGGAGGCAGCAGUAGGGAAUCUUCCGCAAUGGGCGAAAGCCUGACGGAGCAACGCCGCGUGAGUGAUGAAGGUCUUCGGAUCGUAAAACUCUGUUAUUAGGGAAGAACAAAUGUGUAAGUAACUAUGCACAUCUUGACGGUACCUAAUCAGAAAGCCACGGCUAACUACGUG
rnacentral:rRNA from 1 species